GAUGAAGAACGUAGCGAAAUGCGAUAAGUAAUGUGAAUUGCAGAAUUCAGUGAAUCAUUGAAUCUUUGAACGCAUCUUGCGCUCCUUGGUAUUCCUUGGAGCAUGCCUGUUUGAGUAUCAUGAGCAAAUCUCAAAGUCAAUUCCUUUUGUUAAUUCAAUUGGUUUUGCUUUGGACUUGGAGGUCUUGCAGAUUUUCACAGUCUGCUCCUCUUAAAUGCAUUAGCUGGAUCUCAGUAAUUAUGCUUGGUUCCACUCGGCGUGAUAAGUAUCACUCGCUGAGGACACUGUUAAAAAGGUGGCCAGGAAAAUACUGAUUGAACCGCUUCUAACGGUCUAUUAAGUUAGACAAUUACCCUUAAGUUUGAUCUCAAAUCAGGUAGGACUACCCGCUGAACUUAAGCAUAUCAAUAAGCGGAGGA
rnacentral:misc_RNA from 1 species